rnacentral:rRNA from 1 species
UGGGGAAUAUUGCACAAUGGGCGAAAGCCUGAUGCAGCAACGCCGCGUGAGGGAUGACGGCCUUCGGGUUGUAAACCUCUUUUAGUAGGGAAGAAGCGCAAGUGACGGUACCUGCAGAAAAAGCACCGGCUAACUACGUGCCAGCAGCCGCGGUAAUACGUAGGGUGCAAGCGUUGUCCGGAAUUAUUGGGCGUAAAGAGCUCGUAGGCGGCUUGUCGCGUCUGCUGUGAAAACCCGAGGCUCAACCUCGGGCCUGCAGUGGGUACGGGCAAGCUAGAGUGCGGUAGGGGAGAUUGGAAUUCCUGGUGUAGCGGUGGAAUGCGCAGAUAUCAGGAGGAACACCGAUGGCGAAGGCAGAUCUCUGGGCCGUAACUGACGCUGAGGAGCGAAAGCAUGGGGAGCGAACAGG